AUUGAACGCUGGCGGAAUGCUUUACACAUGCAAGUCGAGCGGCAGCACGGGGGCAACCCUGGUGGCGAGCGGCGAACGGGUGAGUAAUACAUCGGAACAUGCCCAGUCGUGGGGGAUAACACUUCGAAAGAAGUGCUAAUACCGCAUACGUACUGAGGGAGAAAGCGGGGGAUCUUCGGACCCCGCGCGAUUGGAGUGGCCGAUGUGAGAUUAGCUAGUUGGUGGGGUAAAGGCCUACCAAGGCAACGAGCUGUAGCUGGUCGGGGAGGAUGAUCAGCCACACUGGGACUGAGACACGGCCCAGACUCCUACGGGAGGCAGCAGUGGGGAAUUUUGGACAAUGGGGGCAACCCUGAUCCAGCCAUUCCGCGUGAGUGAAGAAGGCCUUCGGGUUGUAAAGCUCUUUCGGCAGGAACGAAACGGCGAGCUCUAACAUAGCUUGCUAAUGACGGUACCUGAAGAAGAAGCACCGGCUAACUACGUGCCAGCCGCCGCGGUAAGAC
rnacentral:rRNA from 1 species